GAUGAACGCUGGCGGCGUGCCUAAUACAUGCAAGUCGAGCGAACGGACGAGAAGCUUGCUUCUCUGCUGUUAGCGGCGGACGGGUGAGUAACACGUGGAUAACCUACCUAUAAGACUGGGAUAACUUCGGGAAACCGGAGCUACUACCGGAUCAUAUUUUGAACCGCAUGGAUCAAAAGUGAAAGACGGUCUUGCUGUCACUUAUAGAUGGAUCCGCGCUGCAUUAGCUAGUUGGUAAGGUAACGGCUUACCAAGGCAACGAUGCAUAGCCGACCUGAGAGGGUGAUCAGCCACACUGGAACUGAGACACGGUCCAGACUCCUACGGGAGGCAGCAGUGGGGAAUCUUCCGCAAUGGGCGAAAGCCUGACGGAGCAACGCCGCGUGAGUGAUGAAGGUCUUCGGAUCGUAAAACUCUGUUAUUAGGGAAGAACAUAUGUGUAAGUAACUGUGCACAUCUUGACGGUACCUAAACAGAAAGCCACGGCUAACUACGUG
rnacentral:rRNA from 1 species